rnacentral:rRNA from 1 species
UGGGGAAUAUUGGACAAUGCGGGAAACCGUGAUCCAGCAAUGCCGCGUGAGUGAUGAAGGCCUUAGGGUUGUAAAGCUCUUUUACCAGGGAUGAUAAUGACAGUACCUGGAGAAUAAGCUCCGGCUAACUCCGUGCCAGCAGCCGCGGUAAUACAGAGGGAGCUAGCGUUGUUCGGAAUUACUGGGCGUAAAGCGCGCGUAGGCGGCGUAUCAAGUCAGGGGUGAAAUCCCGGGGCUCAACCGCGGAACUGCCCUUGAAACUAGUAUGCUAGAAUACUGGAGAGGUUAGUGGAAUUCCGAGUGUAGAGGUGAAAUUCGUAGAUAUUCGGAAGAACACCAGUGGCGAAGGCGACUCACUGGACAGUUAUUGACGCUGAGGUGCGAAAGCGUGGGGAGCAAACAGGAUUAGAUACCCCCGUAGUCC